rnacentral:sRNA from 1 species
UUUUCUUCUAUGUGUAUGCUACUGCAGGGUUGUACCACGCAGAAAACUCUACCCCACUGCUUACAGACUUUAUAUGGAACUCCUUAAGCAACUUCGAGAUAUGCUUGAACAUGAUGUCAGUUCUCCAAACUAUGAAAAGAUUAUGAAAUCAAUUGAUCACGUUCUUCAGCUUUCUCAAGUAUACGGUCAAAAGUUGUGGGAGCCUGGAAUUGUUCUAGUUGAAUUUGUCUUUUCAGUCGUAUGGCAGUUACUUGAAGCAUCAUUACAUGACGAAGGCUUACUAGAUCACACUACAGAGAAUAAGCCUAUAUGGCUAUGCAGGUCACAUGACAUGGAUAUUGAUGGACAUGACAGUGUAGGCGAAAAGAAAACUAAGG